AACUUCCCCAGCUUCAGAUUUCUGGAUCGACAAUUGAACCAUGGGUAUUUUCACCCUGAUUUUCUGCAGAUUUAACAUAUCCCAACUUAAAUCUCGUACCUGGAGUCCAUUACUUUUCCACUACUCAAAAAGACGCAUAUCAUCCAAGCUUUUGCAUCUCGUAUGGCAAAUAACACUUAUCUCGACAAGUCAUAGAGUUGACAAGCACCCUUACAUAGCAGAUGACCUUAGUGAAUCAGCUUUUGUAGCGCAUCGAGAUGUAGUGUGCCCCAUACAAGGUGUCCUGAAAUAGGACAAAGUCAAACGACGACUUUUUCUAGCAAUCCUGGCAACCCACCUCUCGACCAGCCAUGAUCCGAGCGUUUUAGCGGUGUACACUCCUGCCUGGGUUCCCGAGAUAGCAUAUACUCUCAUCUUAGUGCGUGGAGGAGCGUACACUCCAAGUUAGGCUCCCACGGACAAAUGCAUUCACGGUU
rnacentral:lncRNA from 1 species